GACGAACGCUGGCGGCGUGCUUAACACAUGCAAGUCGAACGGAAAGGCCCUGCUUUUGUGGGGUGCUCGAGUGGCGAACGGGUGAGUAACACGUGAGUAACCCGCCCUUUACUUUGGGAUAUCUUCAGGCAACUGGGGCUACUACCGGCUAGGAGCUCCUGCUGCAUGGUGGGGGUUGGACAGUUUCGGCGGUUGGGGAUGGACUCGCGGCUUAUCAGCUUGUUGGUUGGGUAGUGGCUUACCAAGGCUUCGACGGGUAGCCGGCCUGAGAGGGUGACCGGGCACAUGGGGACUGAGAGAGGGCGCAGAGUCCUACGGGAGGCAGCAGUGGGGAAUAUUGCACAGUGGGCGGAAGCCUGAUGCAGCAACGCCGCGUGCGGGAUGAAGGCCUUCGGGUGGGAAACCGCUGUCGCCUGUGACGAAGCGGGUGUGACGGUAAUGGGUAAAGAAGCACCGGCUAACUACGUG
rnacentral:rRNA from 1 species